AUGAACGCUGGCGGCGUGCCUAAUACAUGCCAGUCGAGCGAACGGACGAGAAGCUUGCUUCUCUGAUGUUAGCGGCGGACGGGUGAGUAACACGUGGAUAACCUACCUAUAAGACUGGGAUAACUUCGGGAAACCGGAGCUAAUACCGGAUGAUAUUUUGAACCGCAUGGUUCAAAAGUGAAAGACGGUCUUGCUGUCACUUAUAGAUGGAUCCGCGCUGCAUUAGCUAGUUGGUAAGGUAACGGCUUACCAAGGCAACGACGCAUAGCCGACCUGAGAGGGUGAUCGGCCACACUGGAACUGAGACACGGUCCAGACUCCUACGGGAGGCAGCAGUAGGGAAUCUUCCGCAAUGGGCGAAAGCCUGACGGAGCAACGCCGCGUGAGUGAUGAAGGUCUUCGGAUCGUAAAACUCUGUUAUUAGGGAAGAACAUAUGUGUAAGUAACUGUGCACAUCUUGACGGUACCUAAUCAGAAAGCCACGGCUAACUACGUG
rnacentral:rRNA from 1 species